CACUUUUAGCCAUCAAGGUCUUCGGCCCGAGUAUUGUCACAAGAAGAACGAGGUUUAUGAUUAUUUACCAAAUUUGUGGAUUAGAAAGAAAAAUCUGCUUUUUAUUGAAAGAGUGGUUGUUACACUAUUGGUAGCACGUCCCUAGGUUGUCUGAGUUCUAGGGUCGUUAUAGUGGUGUUCCAUCUAGCUGCUUUAAGUAGUAGGUCCC
rnacentral:lncRNA from 1 species